CUGACAGCUUUGAAACACAAAGUCCUCUGUUUAUCCAUAAAGACGCAUAUAUGGCAUGGCCACUAACAAUUCCAAGCUUUCUUGAUGAGUGUACAUAUCUCUGUUUGCCCCUCCAGAGAGUGAGAAAAGGGUUCACAUUCUGGGCCCAUUCAAUUCUUGGCUGCU
rnacentral:sRNA from 1 species